rnacentral:rRNA from 1 species
GUAUACGGAGGGUGCAAGCGUUACUCGGAAUCACUGGGCGUAAAGGGCGCGUAGGCGGAUUAUCAAGUCUCUUGUGAAAUCCAACGGCUUAACCGUUGAACUGCUUGGGAAACUGGUAAUCUAGAGUGGGGGAGAGGCAGAUGGAAUUGGUGGUGUAGGGGUAAAAUCCGUAGAUAUCACCAAGAAUACCCAUUGCGAAGGCGAUCUGCUGGAACUUAACUGACGCUAAGGCGCGAAAGCGUGGGGAGCAAACAGGAUUAGAUACCCUGGUAGUCCACGCCCUAAACGAUGUAUGCUAGUUGUUGGGGUGCUAGUCAUCUCAGUAAUGCAGCUAACGCAUUAAGCAUACCGCCUGGGGAGUACGGUCGCAAGAUUAAAACUCAAAGGAAUAGACGGGGACCCGCACAAGCGGUGGAGCAUGUGGUUUAAUUCGAAGAUACGCGAAGAACCUUACCUGGGCUUGAUAUCCUAAGAACCUUAUAGAGAUAUGAGGGUGCUAGCUUGCUAGAACUUAGAGACAGGUGCUGCACGGCUGUCGUCAGCUCGUGUCGUGAGAUGUUGGGUUAAGUCCCGCAACGAGCGCAACCCACGUAUUUAGUUGCUAACACUUCGGGUGAGCACUCUAAAUAGACUGCCUUCGUAAGGAGGAGGAAGGUGUGGACGACGUCAAGUCAUCAUGGCCCUUAUGCCCAGGGCGACACACGUGCUACAAUGGCAUAUACAAUGAGACGCAAUACCGCGAGGUGGAGCAAAUCUAUAAAAUAUGUCCCAGUUCGGAUUGUUCUCUGCAACUC